AUUAAUUCCACGCACAACAACAUUAAGUAUUUCUUUUGAUUCUCCAUCUCGCGAAAUAUGCUUAUCUAAAUCAGCGAUUUGUCCUCCAGGAAUAAGUCAAUAACCAACCAAAAAAAAUGCCGGCAUACUAUUUGUCAUGCAGGAUGGGGAUAAGCGCACAACCAACACGUCGUGAUGCCGGAAUCAAAGUAUACAGAUAUUUUUCUGCCUAUUAAUUUCAACAGCUGAUGUCAGUUCUGUUCGCAAUGGCCGAUUGCGACCAGCAACCAGCUGAGAUACGAGAGAAAAAAACACACAGCGGAGGAAUCUUCAGACUCCAAAUAAAUAAUACUGCGCACACUAUUUGUUUUGUUGUUCAACGGUGCCGUCCGCAACGAGUUCGGAUGGACUCUUACAAUGGACUAUUCCACAAUUUUUCGGAGCCACGCCUCCUUCAACGCCGGAUAUUGCACCAAGCUGAAAAUAUUUUUUGUUAGUCUAAUCAGUUGCUACAAGAGAGCUCUUCUUAUAAACUACGAAUACAUGUACUU